ACAAGGAAAGUACUGUCUUUUUUAUUAAAAUUGAAAUUAACUUCCAAGUGAAAAGGCUUGGAUUAACUAAGGGGACGAUAAGACCCUAUAAAACUUUAUAAGUUUAAAGAUCUCUACUAUUUUUUUUAUAAAGUUUUUUUUGAUAGCUUAUUUGGUUGGGGCGACAAAGGUAUAAUUAUGAAUAACUGCCAUUAAAAUUAAUACAUUUAUUGAUGAUUGUUGAUAAAUAGUUGAUCCUUUUUAAAGAUUAAAAGAUCAAGUUACUUUAGGGAUAACAGCGUAAUUUCUUCUGAGAGUCCUUAUCAAAGAGGAAGUUUGCGACCUCGAUGUUGAAUUAAAAGUUCUUUAUAGUGCAGCAGCUAUAGAAGAAGGUCUGUUCGACCUUUAAUUUUUU
rnacentral:rRNA from 1 species